AGAGGACUGCUCUGCCCCUCCAGGCCACACUUGUGGUAGGAAUGGUGGUCACUCCCAGCUGGGAGACCCGUGUGGCUCAGGGCCACCCCUGGCAGGGUGGCACACCCAUCUAAUUCUGCGGUUCUGUUUUAGGAUGUCCGCCUGCCCUCAGAUCUAGGCUGCAUUCCCAAUAGUGCCUUUAUCACAAUAAACCUCUCAGGUGUUUCUCCUGGGUGGGAAAGAGGAGCAUUAUGUAUUAGGCACCUUCAAACUGUAACAGGGACUUCUAGUCUCCCCACCAGGCUGCUCCACACAAGCUGAAAACCACGGUCAUCCCUCAAGCGCCAUUUUAGGGCCUUGAACUUCCUGCUUGGACUCUCCCGAUGCCUCCUGAGACAAUGAACCUCUUUUCAUUAAAGAUUUCAAGACACUCAGCUGGUUUCCUUACACUUCCAUCAUCCAUCCAGUGAAUAUCCACCGUGUGUCCCCUGCCCUCUCUCCCAGGUUGGACAUUCAGGUUACGCCCACGGAUGCCACAAAGGUUGCAUACAGAUUUCUAUGGACCUGAGCAUUUCACUGGCCUGCAGAAUACCUGAACUGAUGAGCUGUUCCAGAGGGAGGCCGGCAAGCCCUGGAGACCCUAUCCCGUCCCCUGGAAUCGUGGGAAUUGCUGAGGUGAUGAACGGUGGCUGCCCAUCCCUGCUCGGAUGUCAGG